rnacentral:rRNA from 1 species
CAGCCGUAAACUAUGCGCGUUAGGUGUACUGGUGACCACGAGUCACCGGGGUGCCGAAGGGAAACCGUGAAACGUGCCGCCUGGGAAGUACGGUCGCAAGGCUGAAACUUAAAGGAAUUGGCGGGGGAGGCACCACAACGGGUGGAGCCUGCGGGUUUAAUUUGGACUCAACGCCGGAAAUCUCACCGGAUAGGACAGACAUAUGAUAGUCGGGCUGAAGACUCUACUUGAUGAUCUGAGAGGAGGUGCAUGGCGUCAGUGACU